AGUGAACGCUGGCGGUAGGCCUAACACAUGCAAGUCGAACGGCAGCACAGUAAGAGCUUGCUCUUACGGGUGGCGAGUGGCGGACGGGUGAGGAAUACAUCGGAAUCUACUUUUUCGUGGGGGAUAACGUAGGGAAACUUACGCUAAUACCGCAUACGACCUACGGGUGAAAGCAGGGGAUCUUCGGACCUUGCGCGAUUGAAUGAGCCGAUGUCGGAUAGCUAGUUGGCGGGGUAAAGGCCCACCAAGGCGACGAUCCGUAGCUGGUCUGAGAGGAUGAUCAGCCACACUGGAACUGAGACACGGUCCAGACUCCUACGGGAGGCAGCAGUGGGGAAUAUUGGACAAUGGGCGCAAGCCUGAUCCAGCCGUACCGCGUGGGUGAAGAAGGCCUUCGGGUUGUAAAGCCCUUUUGUUGGGAAAGAAAAGCAGCAGGUUAAUACCCCGCUGUUCUGACGGUACCCAAAGAAUAAGCACCGGCUAACUUCGUG
rnacentral:rRNA from 1 species